rnacentral:rRNA from 1 species
GGGGAAUAUUGGACAAUGGGCGCAAGCCUGAUCCAGCCAUGCCGCGUGGGUGAAGAAGGCCUUCGGGUUGUAAAGCCCUUUUGUUGGGAAAGAAAAGCAGCCGGCCAAUACCCGGUUGUUCUGACGGUACCCAAAGAAUAAGCACCGGCUAACUUCGUGCCAGCAGCCGCGGUAAUACGAAGGGUGCAAGCGUUACUCGGAAUUAUUGGGCGUAAAGGGCGCGUAGGCGGCAACCUAAGUCAGAUGUGAAACCCCGGGGCUUAACUCCGGACGUGCAUUUGAAACUGGGUAGCUAGAGUGCAGGAGAGGAAAGCGGAAUUCCUAGUGUAGCGGUGAAAUGCGUAGAUAUUAGGAGGAACACCAGUGGCGAAGGCAGCUUUCUGGACUGUAACUGACUCUGAGGCGCGAAAGCGUGGGGAGCAAACA